AGGCAACAUUUUGAAUCAGGAUGAAAUAUUGAUUGGUGUCCAGAAUUGGUCAAUGUGGCCAAAAUUGAGACAUAGGUCAUGUUUUCAUCGCAGUAAACAUUCACAGUGGUGACAAUGAGGCCUGUAACAUUU
ensembl:snoRNA